rnacentral:lncRNA from 1 species
UCCCUCAUUCAUUCAUUUAUUCCUUCCUUUCAUCCAUUUAUUCCCUCAUUUAUUCCUUCUUUCCUUCCAUUCACUCAUUUAUUCCCUCAUUUAUUCCUUCUUUCCUUCCUUUCAUCCAUUUAUUCCUUCAUUCAUUCAUUUAUUCCUUCCUUUCACCCAUUUAUUCCCUCAUUUAUUCCUUCCUUCCUUCCAUUCCCUCAUUUAUUCCCUCAUUUAUUCCUUCUUCCCUUCCUUUCAUCCAUUUAUUCCCUCAUUUAUUCCUUCCUUCUUUCCUCUAUCCAUUUAUUUCCUCAUUUAUUCCCUCAUUUAUUCCUUCCUUCCUUCCAUUCACUCAUUUAUUCCCUCAUUUAUUCCUUCCUUCCUUCCUUUCAUCCAUUUAUUCCCUCAUUUAUUCAUUUAUUCCUUCCUCCAUCCACUUAUUCCCUCAUUUAUUCCUUCCUUCUUUCCUCUAUCCAUUUAUUUCCUCAUUUAUUCCCUCAUUCAUUCAUUCAUUCCCCCGUUCCCAUUCCCGUCCCAGUCUCUUCCAUUUUUUAUUUCACCCCAACGCUUCGUUAAUUAAUUUCUUUUAAUAAUUCCAGCUGAUUAUUCCUUUCAACCCUUGUCGUCGUUUCCUUCGAUUCUUUUAUUUCAACGGUGCCUUUUAAUUAUUUUUAUUCCCUUCGAUACUCGUUAUUUUUUUAAUUAAUUCCGAUUGUUCCCUUUUGUUUUCAUUAUUUCCUUUGAUUUUGUGUUAUUUUAAUUAAUUCCAGUCAUUCCUUUUAAUUUCUAUUUUUCAUUAUUUCCUUUGAUUUUGUGUUAUUUUAAUUAAUUCCAGUCA